GGAGGGGUCGCAUAGUUGGUCAAUUGCGGUAGUUUUGAAAACUACUGAGUCUUGUACUCACGCAGGUUCGAAUCCUGUCCCCUCCGCCA
rnacentral:tRNA from 1 species